rnacentral:rRNA from 1 species
UACGUAGGGGGCAAGCGUUGUCCGGAUUUACUGGGCGUAAAGCGUGCGCAGGCGGUUUUGUAAGCCAGAUGUGAAAUCCCCGGGCUCAACCUGGGAAUGGCAUUUGGGACUGCAAGGCUUGAGUUUGGCAGAGGAGACUGGAAUUCCUGGUGUAGCAGUGAAAUGCGUAGAUAUCAGGAGGAAUACCGAUGGCGAAGGCAGGUCUCUGGGCUAUAACUGACGCUCAUGCACGAAAGCGUGGGGAGCAAACAGG